GGAGCGUAAUGGACUCAGAAAAUCCUGCCAGAACUCUUUGCCUCCCCCUUCUCCAUGGCUCUGCUUUGUGUAGAUCCUGCUUGCUAUAUUCCCAGGGCAACUUCAAUAAAGGCAUUUAGAAGGGAAAGAGGCUGCUCAGUGACUUUUGGAGACUUUGGCCAAGAUUUUGCUGAGGAGUGGAGAUGGGAGGGGAACUCACCGAUCCCUGUGAGGCACUUGGAAAAUAUAAGCAGAUACUUAAGCCACAGCUGGGCAAGUUUUGUAGGUUUGGAAUUUCAGCUUUUUCCACGGGCCAGGCAUUGAGAUUCUGGGGAAUGGACUGGAUAAGACCGAACAGGACUCUGCUCCAGGGGG